UGGGGAAUCUUGCACAAUGGGGGAAACCCUGAUGCAGCGACGCCGCGUGAGCGAUGAAGGUUUUCGAAUCGUAAAGCUCUGUCCUAUGGGAAGAUAAUGACGGUACCAUAGGAGGAAGCCCCGGCUAACUACGUGCCAGCAGCCGCGGUAAUACGUAGGGGGCGAGCGUUGUCCGGAAUUACUGGGCGUAAAGGGUUCGCAGGCGGCAUGACAAGUCCGAUGUAAAAGGCGAAAGCUCAACUUUCGUAAGCAUCGGAAACUGUCAAGCUUGAGUGAAGGAGAGGCAAGUGGAAUUCCUAGUGUAGCGGUGGAAUGCGUAGAUAUAUGGAGGAACACCAGUGGCGAAGGCGACUCUCUGGUCUGUAACUGACGCUGAGGCUCGAAAGCGUGGGUAGCAAACAGG
rnacentral:rRNA from 1 species